rnacentral:rRNA from 1 species
GACGAACGCUGGCGGCGUGCUUAACACAUGCAAGUCGAACGGAAAGGCCCUGCUUUUGUGGGGUGCUCGAGUGGCGAACGGGUGAGUAACACGUGAGUAACCUGCCCUUGACUUUGGGAUAACUUCAGGAAACUGGGGCUAAUACCGGAUAGGAGCUCCUGCUGCAUGGUGGGGGUUGGAAAGUUUCGGCGGUUGGGGAUGGACUCGCGGCUUAUCAGCUUGUUGGUGGGGUAGUGGCUUACCAAGGCUUUGACGGGUAGCCGGCCUGAGAGGGUGACCGGGCAGGUGGGAAGUGAGAUCCGGGCCAGGAUCCUGGGGGCGGCAGCGCGGGGGGAGGGAGCACAGCCGGCGGAUGCCAAACGCCGUACGCCGGAGGGCGGGAGGGCGGGCUGCGGGUGGUAAAACACCUCCCCCUGAAACGAAGGCUGGCUGCCGGUAAAGGGUACGGAAGCACCAGCUGUCUACAC